GAUGAACGCUAGCGGCAGGCCUAAUACAUGCAAGUCGAACGGGUGGUCGCAAGACCACUAGUGGCGCACGGGUGCGUAACGCGUAACCAACCUGCCCCGAUCUGGGGGAUAGCCCGCCGAAAGGCGGAUUAAUACCGCAUAUACCCGCAGCCUGGCAUCAGGCAACGGGGAAAGAUUUAUUGGAUCGGGAUGGGGUUGCGUGACAUUAGCUAGUUGGCGGGGUAAGGGCCCACCAAGGCGACGAUGUCUAGGGGACCUGAGAGGGUGAUCCCCCACACUGGCACUGAGAUACGGGCCAGACUCCUACGGGAGGCAGCAGUAGGGAAUAUUGGGCAAUGGGCGAGAGCCUGACCCAGCCAUGCCGCGUGCCGGAUGAAGGCCUUCUGGGUUGUAAACGGCUUUUCUCAGGGAAGAAAAAGACCUUGCGAGGUACACUGACGGUACCUGAGGAAUAAGCACCGGCUAACUCCGUG
rnacentral:rRNA from 1 species